GUCUACGGCCAUACCUAGGUGAAAACACCAGUUCCCGUCCGAUCACUGCAGUUAAGCGUCUGAGGGCCUCGUUAGUACUAUGGUUGGAGACAACAUGGGAAUCCGGGGUGCUGUAGGUU
rnacentral:rRNA from 2 species